rnacentral:rRNA from 1 species
UACGUAGGCAGCAAACGUUGUUCGGAGUUACUGGGCGUAAAGAGUACGUAGGCGGUUUGCCAAGUUUGGUGUGAAAUCUCCCGGCUUAACUGGGAGGGUGCGCCGAAAACUGGCGAGCUUGAGUGUGGGAGAGGGAAGCGGAAUUCCUGGUGUAGCGGUGAAAUGCGUAGAUAUCAGGAGGAACACCGGUGGUGUAGACGGCUUCCUGGACCACAACUGACGCUGAGGUACGAAAGCGUGGGUAGCAAACAGG